AACCGAGAACUCCUACGGGAGGCAGCAGUGGGGAAUUUUGGACAAUGGGGGCAACCCUGAUCCAGCAAUGCCGCGUGAGUGGAGAAGGCCUUCGGGUUGUAACGCUCUUUUGUCAGGGAAGAAACGGUAGUAGCUAAUAUCUAUUACUAAUGACGGUACCUGAAGAAUAAGCACCGGCUAACUACGUGCCAGCAGCCGCGGUAAUACGUAGGGUGCAAGCGUUAAUCGGAAUUACUGGGCGUAAAGCGUGCGCAGGCGGUUGUUUAAGUCAGAUGUGAAAUCCCCGGGCUCAACCUGGGAAUUGCAUAUGAGACUGCACGGCUAGAGUGUGUCAGAGGGGGGUAUAAUUCCCCGUGUAGCAGUGAAAUGCGUAGAUAUGUGGAGGAAUACAGAGGGCGAAGGCAGCCCCCUGGGAUAACACUGACGCGCAUGCACGAAAGCGUGGGGAGCAAACAGAAUUAGAUACCCUAGUAGUCCGACUGAGA
rnacentral:rRNA from 1 species